AAUCAUCAAACCUAACCGGUCUUGUCGCUGGCGUGGUUUGGACUUGGGGGUUCGUUGCUGCCGCUCGCGGUGGCUCCCCUUAAAUGCAUCGGUCGGGCUUUCGUGCGGCUCUGUCCCCUUGGCGUUGUAUUACCCUCGUCGCUGGAUGGCUCGCGAUCCUGUGCCCUUCCCCGACUUGCCUCUGGAGUGGCGGUCUUCAACAUUUGUG
rnacentral:misc_RNA from 1 species